AUUGAACGCUGGCGGCAGGCUUAACACAUGCAAGUCGAGCGAGAGGCGGACGGGUGAGUAAUGUCUGGGAAACUGCCUGAUGGAGGGGGAUAACUACGGGAAACGGUAGCUAAUACCGCACACAAUAAUAGGUGCCCAGAUGGUAUUAGCAGGUAGGUGGGGUAAUGGCUCACCUAGGCGACGACCCCUAGCUGGUCUGAGAGGAUGACCAGCCACACUGGCACUGAGACACGGUCCAGACUCCUACGGGAGUCAGCAGUGGGGAAUAUUGCACAAUGGGCGCAAGCCUGAUGCAGCCAUGCCGCGUGUGUGAAGAAGGCCUUCGGGUUGUAAAGCACUUUCAGCGAGGAGGCGUUACUCGCAGAAGAAGCACCGGCUAACUCCGUGCCAGCAGCCGCGGUAAUAC
rnacentral:rRNA from 1 species